rnacentral:rRNA from 1 species
GUACCUUCAACCUCAAUAGCUAUUUACUAUCGAGCUUUAUUCCCUCCUGACAGAGGUUUACAACCACUAGGGCCGUCAUCCCUCACGCGGCGUCGCUCGGUCAGGCUUUUCGCCCAUUGCCGAAGCUUCUCGA